rnacentral:rRNA from 1 species
GACGUAGGGUGCGAGCGUUGUCCGGAUUUACUGGGCGUAAAGGGCGCGUAGGCGGCCAGCACAAGUCAGUUGUGAAAUCUCCGGGCUUAACUCGGAAAGGUCAACUGAUACUGUGCGGCUAGAGUGCAGAAGGGGCAACUGGAAUUCUCGGUGUAGCGGUGAAAUGCGUAGAUAUCGAGAGGAACACCUGCGGCGAAGGCGGGUUGCUGGGCUGACACUGACGCUGAUGCGCGAAAGCCAGGGGAGCGAACGGG